UAUUGGGGUCUUAUGAUCCUAUUCUGAACCUGAUUUUGUUGCUGAAAAACUCUAUGGAUCUAGCUUCUGAAAU
ensembl:snoRNA